CUAUACUAUUUUCAAUUGAUUAAUAUACUCAUAUAAAGAUAUUUAUAAGCUAAAAUACAACUAAAGGAGAUCAAAUUGGGAAGAAUGUGAAGUCGUUCAAGUCCAUGUCAUAUGAUGAUUAGUUAAAGAAGCUGGGGACAUUUAGGUCUGAAGAAAGGCAGAUGUAAAAGUGAUGUGAGAUUUCCUCAAGAUUACAUGAAACAAAGAGGUGGAACAACUAGACCUGAAGUAAAGAAAAACUGAGUCCAAAUCCUAUCCCAUAUACUUAAUGUGUGACUCUGGACAAGCCACUUAAUCUCUUUAAGCUUCUCUUUAUUUAUCUGUAAAAUGGGGAUAAUAAAAGCACCUAUCCCCUGGUGUUUGGGGUGGAUCAAGUGAAAUAAGAUACAUAAUGUCCUUUGUAGACUUUAAAUUAUUUUGUAAAUGUUCAUUAUUAGUAUUUUCAUAAUGAGCAUGGAGUAGAGAACAGAAUUUUAGACAUAAGGUCAGAAAGACAUGAAUUCAAAUCUCAGCUCCAAGGCUUACUAGUGGUAUUAUCUUGAACAAAUCACCUACUCCUGGGACCUGAGUUUUCUUACUAAAAUAAUUUGGACUUAAAAUUUAAGUCCAGAAUUUUACCUAGUAUAAGGAUGUAAAGGAUUUUCACCAUGAAAAGGAAUUAUGCAUUUCUGAAUGCCCUCUAAGUGGAUAACUAGGAAAAAUGGGUAAAAUGUACAGAGAACCAUUUUUAGAUUUGACAUAGGGAAAACUGCCAAGAAAUUAAAACUAUUUAAGGGAGAACUGAACUGCCUGCGGCUGGAGUGAGUUAUGCCUCAUUAGAGUUGUUGAAGCAAAGACUGGGUAAACAUAUAUAUAUAUUUCUAACAUUGGGCAGACUUUAUUUUAGCUUUCAUGUAAGACAUCAUAAUUAUUGUGUGUUGCUUAAUGAAAUAUUCAUCCAAUCCUAGCUACUUCUAAAAGAGUUACACCUGUCAGUUCUAAUAUGUUCUUUAUUCAUAAUGGAUAAUAGAUACAAAUUGGAUAAGUAUUUCUUGCUAAAACACAUCUUAAUGGUAAUUUAAUAAUUUGUAGAGGGGAGUUGAAAAUAAAUUGAUGAGAAGUGAAGAAUCUAUAAUUUUU
rnacentral:lncRNA from 1 species